AUUGAACGCUGGCGGCAGGCCUAACACAUGCAAGUCGAGCGAGCGGCGGACGGGUGUGUAAUGUCUGGGAAACUGCCCGAAGGAGGGGGAUAACAACUGGAAACGGUAGCUCAUACCGCAUACCAUCAGAUGUGCCCAGAUGGGAUUAGCUAGUGGGUGGGGUAACGGCUCACCUAGGCGACGAUCCCUAGCUGGUCUGAGAGGAUGACCAGCCACACUGGAACUGAGACACGGUCAAGACUCCUACGGGAGGCAGCAGUGGGGAAUAUUGCACAAUGGGCGCAAGCCUGAUGCAGCCAUGCCGCGUGUGUGAAGAAGGCUUUCGGGUUGUAAAGCACUUUCGGCGGGGAGGCGUUACCCGCAGAAGAAGCACCGGCUAACUCCGUGCCAGCAGCCGCGGUAAUAC
rnacentral:rRNA from 1 species